rnacentral:rRNA from 1 species
UGGGGAAUAUUGCACAAUGGAGGGAACUCUGAUGCAGCGACGCCGCGUGAGUGAUGAAGGAAUUCGUUUCGUAAAACUCUGUUCUAUGGGAAGAAAAGGACUGUACCAUAGGAGAAAGCUCAGGCUAAAUACGUGCCAGCAGCCGCGGUAAUACGUAUGGAGCGAGCGUUGUCCGGAAUUAUUGGGCGUAAAGGGUGCGCAGGCGGCUUUACAAGUUGGAUGUGAAAUAUUGUGGCUCAACCACAAACGUGCAUCCAAAACUGCAAAUCUUGAGUUAAGGAGAGGUAAGUGGAAUUCCUGGUGUAGCGGUGGAAUGCGCAGAUAUCAGGAGGAACACCGGUGGCGAAGGCGGGUCUCUGGGCCGUUACUGACGCUGAGGAGCGAAAGCGUGGGGAGCGAACAGG